rnacentral:misc_RNA from 1 species
ACGCCUGGUUCGGAUCCGACCCGUUUCGCUACCGUCGUCGCCGAGCCGCUCGAGCGCGGCUUCGGCCAGACCCUCGGCAACGCGCUGCGCCGCGUGCUGCUGUCGUCGCUGCAGGGCGCUGCCGUGCAGUCGGUUCACAUCGAUGGCGUGCUGCACGAGUUCUCCUCGAUCGCCGGUGUGCGCGAGGACGUGACCGACAUCGUGCUGAACGUGAAGGACAUC